UUGUAGCGGAAAUCACAUCGUAAGCGAUUUUUUUUUCCGGAAAAAGAAAUUACUCCGCUUUCUACGUGUAGGCCUACACGCUAGGAAAAUGAUGAAAAUAACGCGAGGAAAACAUCACAACGUUAUUGAGAGUAAAUAUACACGAAAUCAGUAAAAAAAAUUCUUGCCACAAAGUAAACAAAAUGGGUUAUGGAAAUAACAAUCAAAAUAACGAAAAUAACGGCAUAACAAUUAAUCAUCCGCAACGAGAGAAGUAAAUACAUGUACAUGUACUUGCCUCAAAAAGUCGGAAAGCGAAUGUUGGCAAACGGUGGGAAAAUGACGGCAGCAAAAGAAAAUGAAAUUGACGAAAUUACGAGAAAAAAAAUCACACCAUAAUGAACAAAAUAUCUGUUUAGAAAAUGACUGAAUUUCAGUUAUAUACAGCGGCAUUUCAAAAACAUCGAAAUUGUUGGCAUUGUCGAGAAGUGCCUUCAAAAAUACCUAAUUGCCCCCCCCCCCCACCACCAAAAAAAGUACAUUGUGAAAGGGUACAACUUAUUGGUAACCUGCCUUUAUCGGUGUCGGCACAUGUUCGUGUGCAUUAUGACAAAAAAAGAUCAUGUCUGUUUUUAAAAGUAAAUAGUGGAAACAUGGGUAGAAUCGUUUAGUUUCUAUUUGGUAACAAGUGGCCUUAUUACAAGUAGGCUUAGACAUAAUGCUUUGGAAUGUUUCACUUCAGUAACAAAUGGGCUAGGCCCAGUGUUUUCGUAACCCUGUUCACUUAGGAAAGAGUUGCAGCUUUCUUCAAAGAAACUGAUGAUCUAAAAGUUGAGACUACAUGGAUGAGCUAGGCUGCUUUGUCUGGACGAAAAUCAACCCUCCAAGGCUCCAACAGCCUCACCACACAGAAACUCGAGGAACCGGAAGCAGGGAGGAGGACCGACAGAUCAACGGAUGACCUGCUUGCUGGGCUACCCAUUACUAUUUUUUGAGAAAAAUGAGGACCACUGACUGAUGAGGGAAUUGCUUUACUAAGAUUGAUGAGCCUGCCUCAAGACAUCGUCAUGGCUCCAACAGCCUUAUCACACAAACUCGAGGAACCGGAAGCGGGGAGGAGGACCGACAGAUGAACGGAUGACCUGCUUGCUGGGCAUCCCAUUACUGACUAUCAGAAAAAUGAGGACCACUGACUGAUGAGGGAAUUGCUCUACUGGG